GGAGGGCCAGCUGUGCUGGGAGGGCCAGGCCCACUGCAGGGGACAUGCCAGCGGCUGCGGCCUGAGGCUGGCGACCUUCCUGCCAAGCCCUGGACCAGGAGGGGCAGCUGCGCUUCCCCUCGAGCUAUAAAAAGCCCAAGCCCAGCCCCGCGAGCAGAGGGCAGAGCGAGGGACAGGACGCACGGAGCUUGGAGCUCAGACUGGCAACAUGAGGUUGGGCCCCGCCAUCAGGCUGCUGCAAGCCCCCCUGAGGGCCUGCGUGGUCCCCAAGGCGCACAUCUCCGCCAAGCCGGCCAAAUCCCCCACUUCUGCCCCCGAGCAGGCCGUGGCGCUCGUGGUGACCUUCUUCAGCUUCAUGCUCCCCUCGGGCUGGGUGCUGUCCCACCUGGAGAGCUACAAGAAGCGCUCCAGCGAGUGAGGAUCCACCGAGUGAGGCCCCACCCAGUCCGCCCCGUGACGUCUGCCAGUGAGGCGGGCAGCCGCCGACGCCGUGGGCACGGGAGGGAGCUCUCAUUAAACCCUCCCCACCGAA